GUUCGGGGUCAGCACGGGGUAACUGACACCAGGCAACUUCUUGAUCCCCUGCAUGACUUCAGUGUGGUCGGCCAUCUGCAAAGGGAACGCCGACAGAUCUCUAAGGGUGUCAACACGCUCGUCAGCCACUUGCACAGAGUCACGAUUUGUUCACGUGUGACUGCACAGUGACAGCGUUCAAAGCACACAGGUGCACGGCCACAGAGCAACGACACGAGUGCCAGCGCCGGUACCAAGCAUGGCAAAGCUGCUGCUGCCCUGCUGAAACCACCCCGCGCGGAGCCACCACCACCAGCCAGCGCUGAGCGCUCAGCCCAGGAGCUCAGAGCCAGACUCAGAUUUGGGAGGCAAGCCUCUGGCAUAGCCAACGUGAACGUGUCCUAAAACCAGCUCUAAAGAGUCAGUCUGCAACCCGCUGUUUAAACACUUACCUUCCUUGUUCUUGUUAAGAAAGCAUUCAUCCAAAAA